AGCAGCCGCGGUAAUUCCAGCUCCAAUAGCGUAUAUUAAAGUUGUUGCAGUUAAAAAGCUCGUAGUUGAAUUUCGGGAUCAAUAUAUCGGUCGUGCCAUCGGUACGUACUGGUAUGAUUGGUUUCUCCUUUCUGACGAACCAUGAUGUCAUUAAUUUGGUGUUAUGGGAAGUUAGGACUGUUACUUUGAAAAAUUAGAGUGUUUAAAGCAGGCUUUAGCUUGAAUACAUUAGCAUGGAAUAAUGAAAUAGGACGUUUGACCCUAUUUUGUUGGUUUCUAGGAUCGACGUAAUGAUUAAUAGGGAUAGUUGGGGGCAUUAGUAUUCAAUUGUCAGAGGUGAAAUUCUUGGAUUUAUUGAAGACUAACUACUGCGAAAGCAUUUGCCAAGGAUGUUUUCAUUAAUCAAGAACGAAAGUUAGGGGAUCGAAGACGAUCAGAUACCGUCGUAGU
rnacentral:rRNA from 1 species